GACUUCCUCUUUCCAGGUGAGAAGCUUGUGAUCAGUGGUCUGUGGUCAGAGGCUUCAAAAAGAAAGGGGAUUUCCAUGGUGUUGAAGAUCAUACAGGUCGUUCUCAGACAUGAAAACUCAAAAAUACACAAAAGACUCUUCAGACCUACGAGCAAUGUUAGAGAGAUGGUUCCACACUGCACA